AGAGUUUGAUCAUGGCUCAGGACGAACGCUGGCGGCGCGCCUAACACAUGCAAGUCGAACGAGCGAGAGAGAGCUUGCUUUCUCAAGCGAGUGGCGAACGGGUGAGUAACGCGUGAGGAACCUGCCUCAAAGAGGGGGACAACAGUUGGAAACGACUGCUAAUACCGCAUAAGCCCACGGCUCGGCAUCGAGCAGAGGGAAAAGGAGCAAUCCGCUUUGAGAUGGCCUCGCGUCCGAUUAGCUAGUUGGUGAGGUAAUGGCCCACCAAGGCGACGAUCGGUAGCCGGACUGAGAGGUUGAACGGCCACAUUGGGACUGAGACACGGCCCAGACUCCUACGGGAGGCAGCAGUGGGGAAUAUUGCACAAUGGGGGAAACCCUGAUGCAGCGACGCCGCGUGGAGGAAGAAGGUCUUCGGAUUGUAAACUCCUGUUGUUGGGGAAGAUAAUGACGGUACCCAACAAGGAAGUGACGGCUAACUACGUGCCAGCAGCCGCGGUAAAACGUAGGUCACAAGCGUUGUCCGGAAUUACUGGGUGUAAAGGGAGCGCAGGCGGGAAGACAAGUUGGAAGUGAAAUCUAUGGGCUCAACCCAUAAACUGCUUUCAAAACUGUUUUUCUUGAGUAGUGCAGAGGUAGGCGGAAUUCCCGGUGUAGCGGUGGAAUGCGUAGAUAUCGGGAGGAACACCAGUGGCGAAGGCGGCCUACUGGGCACCAACUGACGCUGAGGCUCGAAAGUGUGGGUAGCAAACAGGAUUAGAUACCCUGGUAGUCCACACCGUAAACGAUGAUUACUAGGUGUUGGAGGAUUGACCCCUUCAGUGCCGCAGUUAACACAAUAAGUAAUCCACCUGGGGAGUACGACCGCAAGGUUGAAACUCAAAGGAAUUGACGGGGGCCCGCACAAGCAGUGGAGUAUGUGGUUUAAUUCGACGCAACGCGAAGAACCUUACCAAGUCUUGACAUCCUGCGACGGUUCUGGAAACAGAGCUUUCCUUCGGGACGCAGAGACAGGUGGUGCAUGGUUGUCGUCAGCUCGUGUCGUGAGAUGUUGGGUUAAGUCCCGCAACGAGCGCAACCCUUAUGGUCAGUUACUACGCAAGAGGACUCUGGCCAGACUGCCGUUGACAAAACGGAGGAAGGUGGGGAUGACGUCAAAUCAUCAUGCCCUUUAUGACUUGGGCUACACACGUACUACAAUGGCGUU
rnacentral:rRNA from 1 species